UUCCGUAACAGAGUAAAAAAAAACCUUUGUAUCAGCUGAACCCAACCCCGGCCAGGGAGCCAAGUUAUGUUUGGGCUAUUGCUUGUUACAAAGAGGAGUGACACUGCAUCUCUAUUCCAAAGACCAUUCAACCAGAGGAGGGAUUUCCUGAAUAGAGAGCUGCAAAAGAAUGGACGACCCAGAGAAACCCAGAGACAGAAAGAGGAGGGAGGAAACAGGGAAUACCUUCUGUUUCUCUCCUCCAAAGUGAGAGCAAAAUUAUUUGCCAUGCCACCAGGAAUGUGUGCCAUGUUUUUGUCACUCCUUCAACCUGCAUACCAGGGGGACUCCUCUCCUCCCAUCCACCAUCCUAGUCGAAACUCAGUGGAGUUAUUCUCUGUCUGAGAUGCACAGAGAAAGUUUCUCGUCGUUUCGUGGUAUACUCCCUUCGCACACACAGGUGUUGAUAACUGCCAUGUGUGCAGUUAUAUCCCCAUAGCAUCAUGGAUGUCACUCUUGAACUUUGGCUGACCAGAGGUCACAUAGACCUUCUGCUCUUCAGCAUAGAAGAGGCUGUAUGAUACCCAACAGCACAAAUGGACAGUUUUUUCCACUGUGCUUCAACCUUUGUUAAGAUUAGCUUGAAUCAGUAUGGCAGCAUUAUGGAUCUUGUUUGUAAAUGUGUAUAACGUCCAUAUGUCCUGACCGACGUAGCAUCUGGGUGCCUGCUAUUCAUACAUCUGACUUAGCGCCUAGUCCUCCCCUCCUAAACAAAAUGGAACAAGCGGAGUUUUGGUUUGCAUUUUGUAGAUCCAUCAAAGUGGUGUUUUCUUCCACAGUGCCUUUCAGAAGUGUUUUGGGGCUUUGCAAUGACUUCUGCUGCAGAAUCAGGCCUAUUUUUAACGCAGUGUUACCUGAGAGCUUAAAGAUCAUGGCCAUUCAGCACCAGUUUUCAUCCUUGUCCCUUACAAUACAGAGAUUUCUCCUCUUUGGUUACACAGAUAAUGGAAUUCCUAAAUUAUUUCUCAAUUUAUUUUGAGAAAUGUUUAUGUUAAGGUUUUUUAACUAUUUACCUAUACAGUGCUUGAGGUAUUUUUCAUCUUGUAUCUGGUUGCCAGUUAGCCAGAUUGGCUGUGAUAUGUUAAUCUUUUUUGUACCAAAUGUACAUAUACAAAAUUUUUUCCAGUCACAUUUAAAAUCAUAUACUGUAUUAAUAAAUAAGUAAAUAAAAUAAAAAAAAAACAGACAAAUUUUUAAUCUUCAUUCUUCAGCUAGGAUAGUCAGACACAGACAAACUUAGUCUUAUGAAGCCAUGCAGAAUGACAUCUGGUAUUGUCUUGCUGAAAUAACAGCUUACCUCUGGGGAAGACAAGCGUUGAUGGUACAUACUGUAUGUCUGUAUGAAUUCCAACAUACACCUCUGUAUCAAUGCUACCCUCGCACAUAAUGCAUGUCAUUAAUGCCAUGGACACUGAUGCACUCCCUGUCCCGUCAUAGAUUCUGGAUUUUACACUUUUUAUUAGAUGGUCUUCCACAUCUAUCUAAUCUUUGGCACCUGAAAUAACCUUCCUUAAAAGAAACUGUGUCUGCUGUCUUUCUGUCCACCUGAAGUGAGCCCGUGUCCAGAGUAUUUGGCAGGAUAUCUGAUGUAUGGCUUCCUCCUUGUGCAAAACUGUUCCAGAUUACAUUUCUGGAUGCAGCAGCAGACUUUCCUCUAUGGCAAUAGUCUUCCAAAGUACUUCCAAACCAAUAAAGUAAUACUGAAUAAUGAGGAAUGAUAGCUUCUCCUGCAGUUUCACCUGAAAGCACCAAGGUCUUACACAUCCAACAGUGGUUUAGAUUAUUGGCCUUUGCCCUUUGCUGAUGGAACGUAUGACCUUUACUCUGAGGCUCCAGAAGGAGCUGAGGAAAAGACGCUGGAGAAAAUUAAUGAACUUUGUUGACUGUGACAGUAUUAACCUUGUUUGACUACAUGUGAAAUACUGUAUACGUUUUGAAAUAUGCUUGUUUUGUCUGAUUGCCAUCCCAUGACCUCAUUUUGUU